ACUUCCUCCUUCCGGUCCACUGCAAACAACGAGAACAAGGUCGUAAGUCGCAGAUCAAAAACGCCUCGACGCCAAAGCAAAUUAACAUCUGCCAGCCUCUCGGACAAGCGCCCCAGAUGAACGUCUAACUCGUAUUUACUCAUUCCUUUCGAUUAUACCCGCCGCGGCCCGGACUUAACUGCAUUUUCCCCACCCCUGUAGGCGUCUAGACGUUCUUCAGGGAACUUGUCUUUCCAUUUAUUCAUUCUUCCGGAGAAUACUUCACGAAAAUAUUUUUUUUUUACCUUCCAGGGACUCCCAUUUACGGCAGUCACGUGACUCGUUGCAGGUACUCACGCACUUGGCACACGACCUUGAUACUACUUCCGCAUACAAUGACAUUCCUGACCUAUCACUCACUGCAGGUGAAGUCUGCAAUGCGCAAGCGCAGUGCAUCGAUGUGACAGAAAUCUGUGUGGUUUGGUUGCAUAACCAACAGGAAACCUGACGUCUGGUAUACGAAGAGGCCUUGCAGUGACCCUGUCUGAGGCAUCUCGCCAAAAUGUAUUCGGAAUUUUCGUUUUCGACCUUAAUUCAGAAAAGUUUCGUCGACCACAUAACGUCGAAUCAACAGCGAGUAAUGAAAUGUAAAUGAUCCGGAAGGAAGCGGUCGUGGACUACUUUAAGGCACUAACCGGAUGUUUACUAGAAGGACUCAGGAAAACCAAGCGCACGUGCCAAGAUCAUUAUCGUCGUGGGAUUUCGUCCGUCGGCAAUUUAGAACUACGAAAACAUUAAAACAACGGAAGAGACCCCGCGGAGACAAAAGGGGGGGCCGGCAACGGGGCCCCUCGUGCGGCCUCAGAAACGAACAUUUUGGCAUAGUCUGUAGGUCAAUGCCCCGCAGACAACUACGUGCGAGGCCGCACGACGCACUUUUAUCGUGCGUGGCAAUGCGUGAGCGGCCCCCUGUGUGGGCCACAGAUCGCCACGAAGACAAACCAGUCGCCGGAAGACGGCGACAAUGUGGGCCAGACUCGGCUGUUGCCAGGAGAAAGGUUACGAUAUUGCGGUAUUUCUCUGCGACAAAACGAGACUCAACAGGAGGCGAUCAGAAGGUCCAUCUGCAUCAGCUGUGCUGUCGUGUCAUCUGUCUGGACCGCCAUUACCCUCGAGCCUGCAUUGUUUGCCGAUAAGGCUAGCACCUGCUGAGAGGCGUGUCCUUGUGGCAGACAGCCGACAAGGGGUGGUCGGUCCUCUAGCCCGGGACUGAACAUGGAAAUACCGACACCUCACCACAAAGAAACUCCUUACACUUUUUGAUUGCUUGCCUUCAGGGAUGUUGCGCCGUGACAGGCGUUUCGAGAGGAGCUUACUGCCUCCAUUAUCAGGCUACACGGUCCAACAUCUCAUAAGACAGUCAUGGUGAUAACCUGAGAUCUUACCAAACCAACUUGACGCUAAGAGCUGCAAACAUUUUGUAUUUCGUGGCAAAUUCUAACUUGUCCGCUACGUGACGUGACAAAGGUUAAUGGAUCACCAUUUAACGUCACACAAUCAGAGUAUAUGAAAGCUAAAUAAAACAAACUGGGCAUAUAUGGACGACUUAGAAGCUAAUACUUAAGUCAGAACAUCGAUUUUAAAUGCAGCGUCUUUUUUACACUUAUUUUUAAGCAGCAUUCUUCAAAAAACUUUUUUUUCUCACCUUUAAUGUUAAUUUAAUCUGGCUAAAUUAAUUACACAUUUCGUUUGUUUGUUUUUUUGAAUUAAAUUUAAUGAGUAACUUAUUGGCUUCUGAACCGUCAUGGUAUACAUUAACAUCAUGUAGAAUUAUUGUUGUUAUUCCCCUGCGCAGCCAAAACUGCGGCCUACAUAAAAUAAUGGCACUGUAAGUACGUGAAUUGUAAAGCAACUGCAGUUCAGUACAAAUGUACCUGUUUAUUGCCAUCACCCUGAGACCCAUCACUGAUAAAGGUGCAAUUCGUUGAUAAGAAAUGACUAAAUGCAGAACGAUAAGAUAAAUCGCGCUGUGAUAAUAUUAAAAAAAAAAGUUGCCACGUUCGUUUCCUAUUAUUGAGACUUGGAAGCGCUGUCCCGUGCUACAAUGGUUGCAAAAUCAGUUUUUAUAAACUUUAUAAAAUUGAUCAGCAAAAACAUUUUAUGCUUCAAAGAGUUAAAAUAUGUAACUUACUUCACAGAGUCCUCUUUAGUGAAGCUAAAUGUCACUAACUCAUUAAGGAAAUUCCCCGCCUUUUAUAAGUCUUCAGAGGCGCAUUACAGUAUUCACAAGAGCCUGCUACCGUCCAUAUUUUGAUCCACAUAAAUCAAAUCAACAUCAUAUUUAAGAUCCACUUAAACAAUAUCCACCAAUCACAUUUAUGCAGAAGUCUAUUUAAGAGAUCAGAAAUUUUAGCUUUUCACACACACACAUUCUCUUAACUGAACUGAACUCUGAAUAACGAAGAACAUUUUUAGACUAUUUCCACUGUGCGCAGUGUUACCACAACAAAUAAGGUUCAGCUUCAAAAACUAAUUUCCAAUCUCUCAUGUUUUCAGACAAGUGCAUUCUACACUGGCAUCAAAAUUAUCAACAGUCAAGUAUCUAAUCCCAUGAGUCUUAUGAAGUAAGUCACAAUUUUAAGUAGCAUUAAAAAGAAACUUAAAUACACACUCAUUUUACUCUGUUGAUGAAUUUAUAUAUAUUUUUAAAAUGACUCAUUAUAUUUUCAAAGGUCUUCUUGCCACUGUACAGUGUAAAUGGGCAAUAUAAUUUAUUUAAUGUGUGGAUUUAUUUUAAACACUUCAUUACUUUAUGUGAAAUCUUACUUUAUUCUAUGUGGAAAGUUUAUAAUACUCUGAAAUUCACUUGUAUAUACUUAUUGUACUUAUGAAUCAAAGUAAUGUAAUAAUAUGUAUUUGUGUACAUAGCUCCCAUAAAUGUUACAAGAUCUGACAAUCUCA